GCUCGCUAAGUCGAACACCCCAAAGGGCGACUUAGGCAAAAAGGAGCGUCUCGGUGGAUUGAAAACCCGAAAGGGCGAUCCAAGCAAAAGUUAGAGACAUUGAAAAAAAGAAUUUGCAUCCCGCUAGAUUGAACACCUCACACUGGGGCAAUCUAGGCAAAAAUUAGGGAUUUGGCAAGUAACUGCAUCUUGACAAGACUGUG
rnacentral:lncRNA from 1 species